AUUGAACGCUGGCGGCGUGCCUAACACAUGCAAGUCGAGCGGUAACGCGGGAGCAAUCCUGGCGACGAGCGGCGAACGGGUGAGUAAUGCUUCGGAAUCUUCCCAGUAGUGGGGAAUAACUAGCCGAAAGGUUAGCUAAUACCGCAUACGUCCUACGGGAGAAAGCAGGGGAGUCGCAAGACCUUGCGCUAUUGGAUGAGCCGAAGUCGGAUUAGCUAGUUGGUAGGGUAACGGCCACCAAGGCGACAAUCCGUAGCUGGCCUGAGAGGACGACCAGCCACACUGGGACUGAGACACGGGCCCAGACUCCUACGGGAGGGCAGCAGU
rnacentral:rRNA from 1 species